GACGUAGGGCGCGAGCGUUGUCCGGAUUUAUUGGGCGUAAAGAGCUCGUAGGCGGCUUGUCACGUCGGGUGUGAAAGCCCCGGGGCUUUAACCCCGGGUCUGCAUUCGAUACGGGCUAGCUAGAGUGUGGUAGGGGAGAUCGGAAUUCCUGGUGUAGCGGUGAAAUGCGUAGAUAUCGAGAGGAACACCAGAGGUGAAGACGGGUUGCUGGGCUGACACUGACGCUGAGGCGCGAAAGCCAGGGGAGCAAACGGG
rnacentral:rRNA from 1 species